AUUUAUUCUCAGGGCGGGGUGAAAUUCCCCACCGGCGGUAAUCCGGAUUUUCAUCCGGAAAGCCCGCGAGCGCUCCAUGACAUUGAUGGAGGUCAGCAGAUCUGGUGAAACUCCAGGGCCGACGGUAAAAGUCCGGAUGGAAGAGAAUAUUU
rnacentral:ncRNA from 2 species